rnacentral:rRNA from 1 species
GAUGAACGCUGGCGGCGUGCCUAAUACAUGCAAGUAGAACGCUGAAGCUUGGUGCUUGCACCGAGCGGAUGAGUUGCGAACGGGUGAGUAACGCGUAGGUAACCUGCCUCUUAGCGGGGGAUAACUAUUGGAAACGAUAGCUAAUACCGCAUAAAAGUCGAUAUCGCAUGAUAUUGAUUUGAAAGGUGCAAAUGCAUCACUAAGAGAUGGACCUGCGUUGUAUUAGCUAGUUGGUGAGGUAACGGCUCACCAAGGCGACGAUACAUAGCCGACCUGAGAGGGUGAUCGGCCACACUGGGACUGAGACACGGCCCAGACUCCUACGGGAGGCAGCAGUAGGGAAUCUUCGGCAAUGGGGGCAACCCUGACCGAGCAACGCCGCGUGAGUGAAGAAGGUUUUCGGAUCGUAAAGCUCUGCUGUAAGAGAAGAACGAGUGUGAGAGUGGAAAGUUCACACUGUGACGGUAACUUACCAGAAAGGGACGGCUAACUACGUG